GCUAUCCCUGGCUUUUGCGGGAGGUGGGAGAAGGGACAGAGUGCGGCUCUGUCCCUUCCCCCACCUCCCGCAAAAGCCAGGGAUAGC